rnacentral:rRNA from 1 species
CUUGCUAUGGUAUAACUUAGUGGCAGACGGGUGAGUAAUGUAUAGGAAUCUACCUAGUAGUACGGAAUAAUUGUUGGAAACGGCAACUAAUACCGUAUACGCCCUACGGGGGAAAAAUUUAUUGCUAUUAGAUGAGCCUAUAUUAGAUUAGCUAGUUGGUGGAGUAAUAGCCUACCAAGGCAAUGAUCUAUAGCUGAUCUGAGAGGAUGAUCAGCCACACUGGAACUGAGAUACGGUCCAGACUCCUACGGGAGGCAGCAGUGGGGAAUAUUGGACAAUGGGCGAAAGCCUGAUCCAGCCAUGCCGCAUGAGUGAAGAAGGCCUUUGGGUUGUAAAGCUCUUUUAGUGAGGAAGAUAAUGACGGUACUCACAGAAGAAGUCCUGGCUAACUCCGUGCCAGCAGCCGCGGUAAUACGGAGAGGGCUAGCGUUAUUCGGAAUUAUUGGGCGUAAAGGGCGCGUAGGCGGAUUAGUAAGUUAAAAGUGAAAUCCCAAGGCUCAACCUUGGAAUUGCUUUUAAAACUGCUAAUCUAGAGAUUGAAAGAGGAUAGAGGAAUUCCUAGUGUAGAGGUGAAAUUCGUAAAUAUUAGGAGGAACACCAGUGGCGAAGGCGUCUAUCUGGUUCAAAUCUGACGCUGAGGCGCGAAGGCGUGGGGAGCAAACAGGAUUAGAUACCCUGGUAGUCCACGCUGUAAACGAUGAAUGUUAAAUAUGGGAAGUUUUACUUUCUGUAUUACAGCUAACGCGUUAAACAUUCCGCCUGGGGACUACGGUCGCAAGAUUAAAACUCAAAGGAAUUGACGGGG